GUGCUCGCUUCCGCAGCACCUAUACUAAAAUUGGAACAAUACAGAGAUUAGCAUGGCCCCCCGCGCAAGGAUGACAUGCAAAGUCGUAAAGAGUUCAUGGUCAGU
rnacentral:snRNA from 1 species